UUGCCUAGACGUCCCCUUCCUCUUCAAUUGCCUCUCGACCUUCAUUGUCACAUGUAACAUGUCCUCGAUUUCCACAUAAUGUUGCAACUCUACAACAUUUGCAAUAUCCCGAUUUAAUCCAUUCAAGAACCGUGCCAUGGUAGCUUCCCGAUCUUCCUCCACAUUAGCCCGAAUCAUAAGAAUUUCCAUCUCCUUGUGAUAAUCCUC
rnacentral:lncRNA from 1 species